rnacentral:rRNA from 1 species
UACCGACGUGCCGGCGGGCGGGGUAGUACGUAGGGGUGUGGGGUUGGCCGGGGUUACGGGGCGUAAAGGGCAGGCAGGCGGGCGGGCGCGUUUGCUGUGACAGCGCAUGGCUUAACUAUGCGGGCAUAGGAAAGACGGCCUGACUGGAGGGCUCGAGAGGGACACGGAAUUCCGGGUGGAGUGGUGAAAUGCGUAGAGAUCCGGAGGAACACCGAAGGCGAAGGCAGUGUCCUGGCGAGUAUCCCUGACGCUGAGGUGCGAAAGCCAGGGGAGCGAACGGGAUUAGAUACCCCAGUAGUC